AACUCAUUUUGCAUCAGCCUUUCACUCUGCCUCUCUUCGCCUGGUUUCCCGCCCUGCCCUUCCCUCUCAAUUGAAGCCACCAAUGGGAGUACGUUUUGCAUCAACUUUGAUUGGGAAACCUAUGAAUUUUCCAAUGGUAUGAAUUUUCAGCUUGAUUUGAGUCUGAUUGGGAAACCUAUGAAGGAGUCGCUAUGAUAAUCUAUCUCUUUUCUUUACAUGGUUUUGCAUUCCUGCUUUCUCUCUUCUGCACAGUGGUUUAGCUCUAUUGGAAUUCAAUUUACCGUCAUUGGUUUUUAUCAUCUUCCAGGAUUUCGGCUCUUUUGACGACCUUUGCUGGCGCAACCACCUGAUGUUCCAUGGCUUAGGUUGCGUGAUGCUGCUCCGGUUCGUGAUUUGCGAUUUUUCUCUAUGAUUCGUAGUUUUGUUUCUUUUCAGAGAUCCUGCUGGUUUCUUUUUGUUUUUUUUUUUGUUUUGGAAGCACUUUUUGAUUAGGUUUAAGAGCAUGUCUGAGCUUCCUCCUAUUUUUUAUUAGUGGUUUUAUGAUGUGUAUGUUGAGGAAUGUUGUGUGUGUCACCAGACUCUGGCCCCAGCACCAAGUACAAACGUUGAACAUCAUCAGGGCUAAGAGCUUCUUCUUUCUCGACUUUCGGCCUAUAGAAAAAGAAUAUAACUUUUCAGUUUUUCCAUAAAUAAAACCACUCGUGAGUGCGUAAUUACAUAAUUUUUCCUACACGCGUAACAAUAAGUUCCAUAAAUAAUAAAAGAGAAAGAGAGACAAACUUGAAUCUCAACCUGGGCCUCACUUUUAGACUUGACUUCUUCACCUUGACCCUUUAUUUUAUCCGUUUCCUUUUCUUGAUUUCAAGUAUCAGAAGAAGCUGAUGAGUGCAAGACUGAGAAGUACUGGUGUGUUUCUUGCUCUUUUCUUGCUCACUCUCUCUUUUCUUGGCCAGUUUGGUUAAGAACAAACGAGGGAAAAGAAAAAUGGGGUUUUCUUGCUCUUUUCUAGUUACUGACGGAGAAUUGAAAGGGAAAAAAUAAGAUCAAGUUCAUUAAAAUGUAUGGAUUGGUAUGGUUUAGGACUUCUGGUACUAUGAUAAAUGUGUGUAAGUGAGAAUUUUGAUUUUUCCCAUUGUUUGCCAGAUUUUCAGAGUAGAGUAAAAUUACAGCAUUUGAGUUAUGCGAGGUAUAUAUAUGGUUUGAAACCUUUUGCUGAUAGCAGAAAAGGUAUCUGUCUGAAAAAGUUGUAAAAUAACAGCAUUUGAGUUAUGUGCAUCAUAUAUAUAUACAUUGAAAACCCAAAGCAACACAAAAUUCCCAACUUCAUGUUUCUGCUGUCAGGGGCUAAAAUUGCUUAUUGGAUGGAUUCUUUGUAAAAAUGUGGCUGCAAGAAAACUACCAUUGGCCUUCUUUUAGCUUUCUUGUGUUGGCUCUGAGAGUAAGAUUUUUUGAACAAGUUAAUAAUAAUUAAGGUGACCUUUAAUUUCCAUGUAAUAACAUAAUCGUUUUCAGUACCUGCUUCUGCUUUUGUUUGCCAUUAACUGCUUGAUUGGCUCUUCGGGCUUCCUAGAUUUCCAACUACAGUAUUGCUCAUCGCUUCCUGCAGAAUGUUUAUCAACAAUAUUUAGAAUAAAAUCUAAUAUCCCCAGUUUAGUUGGGAAAAUGGAGAAUUUAUAUGCUUGCUACUACAAAACAAUGAUCAUGUCAAAUCUUGUGAUGGCAUUUGUUUAAUACUUUUUUCUUGGAAUUUCUUGUAACAGUCCCUUUUCUUCCUCAUUCUUUAAUAUUGUUGCCCGAGUUUAACUUUCAGUGGGUUCAUAAGCAAAGGAAUUGUGUCAGUACUAACCUGAGUUAUUGAAACUUGACUGAGGUUGGUGGGAGUUGCAGAAGUUUGGCUAAGGUUGGUGGGAGUUAUUGAGAUUUGGCUGAUGGGAGGAGUUAUUGAAGCUAGGCUGUGGUUGGGAGAGGGGCCGAAAGCUUUAGCUAAAAAAAGGUAGUUCAUCUUUUCUUCAGCAUAAUCUCUCAGUCUGUUGAGCUCUGGCAAGACUUCUGUGCCAAGAUCUGGCCUGUCUUUCCGUCUCAGUUCUGCACAUUGGAGUGCAAGCUUUGCAAAACAUAAAGUCUCUUCAAUUGGCCAAUCAGGCACAUCUGAGUCUAGAACUUCUUUGAGAGUCUCAUUUUCAAUUGCUUGUUCAACAAUGUGAGUCAAGCCCAUUGGUGGCUUGGCUGUUAUGACUUGCAGAAGCAAGAUCCCUAAGGAAUAUACAUCAGAUUUCACACCAAGCAUUCCAGUUUGUUGAUACUCUGGAUCAAUAUAGCAGAAAGUUCCAGCAGCUGAUGUCAUGUGGUAUUGUGUUACAUUCUCAGAAGUAGUGGGAACAAGCCUGGCCAAUCCAACAUCACUAAUCUUACUGGUGUAAUUGUUGUCUAGCAAAAUGUUUCCUGGCUUGAGGUCACGGUGAACCAGUGGCUCUGGCUUGGUCUGAUGGAGAAAGAGCAGACCUGUGGCUAUCUCAGCUGCAAUUCGGAACCUGAUUUGCCAAGAAAGAGCUGGUGUAUUCCCUCUCUUGAAGAGACAGUCUUCUAAGCUUCCUUUUGCCAUGUAUUCAUAGACUAGAAUACCAUACUCUGGGCAGGCUCCUAGAAGCAGUACCAUGUUUGGAUGCCGUAUUAAGCUAAGCACUUCAACCUGCAAGAACACUCAAGGCACUGCAGGUCAGGUGAUUUUCAAUAAGGUUUUGGUUGAGAAAACAUCCAUUUGAUGCAUUUACUGGUGCUUUUUAAUGGUUUUGAUAUGUCAAAGUCAAAAUCAUUCAAAAGCACCUAAAAAUCAUCAAUCUGGUACCUUUUAGACAAAAAGCACUUUGGAAAAACAUUUUCAAUCGCAUUAUUAAUCAGUUUUCUUUGUUUCUCACCUCUCUUUGAAAUUGAGACCUUCCUUGGGCUGCAUCAGGACGUAAAACCUUGACUGCAACUGGUGUAUGAUCAAGAUAACAGUUGUAAACUGGGCCAUAACCUCCUCCCCCAAUCUUCUUUGAUUCCGAAAACUUCUUUGAGGGUUUUCUCUAUGUUGAGUCUCCUUUGCGCUUCUAUUGCAGCUCUCUUCUCAGCUUCUUCAGCAGCGUCUAUGGCUUCUCUGCACCUGGCUUUCUCUUGCUCUAUAAUCGACAGUGCAGCUUCUUCGGAAAACCUAGACUCUUCCAAUCUUCGUUCUUCUUCUAUUCUCCAGCGAUCCAGCUCUGUUGCCUAUAUACAUACCAUUUUAGAACCUACUGGGAAUCUUACUAGUGCACGUAGAAAACAUGAAUUCUCUGUACCUUCCGUUUUGCUGCUGUGUGUUGAACCAGUAAAAGAUGUUCUGCCGCUAUCUUGUGAAAUUGAUGAAAAUCCCUGAUGGUAAUUGGGGCUAAAGAACUUUGGUCCUGAUUGUAUAGAUGCAAAGCUAGUGUCUGAGCUAGUUGAAACCGAGGGGUUGCUCCAGAAUCCAUGAAAUCAUAGGUUACAGAAGACAUGCGGUCAGUGCUUGGCCUGCUGGAGCUGACAAAUGAUAUGUCAGUUUCUGACAUGAGAUCUGCAAAUGAUUUUACACUAUGACCCUGUCCUUCUCUUCCAAAUGGUGACCUGUUGUUACCAACAAUUGUAUUAUGUUCAGCCUUUGAACAAAUUAAAUCAUAGCCAAGCUUUAGCAAUAAAAAAAGGAAUAUAUUACAAAGACAUCCCAGACUAUCACUCCAUAAAUAUUUACUGAUUAUAUAUGCACGUUAUAUUAUAUCAUGUUCACUGCCAUCCCCUCUCAUCUUCUAAAAUGAUUUGAUGCAUUCCUUACUUACCUGAAGGUUUCACCAACUGAGAUACGAGGCUUGACUGGCAUCGUUCUCUCUGUCAGCAGAAGACCAUAAAUUGGAUUUUGGAUUAGGAUUAAGACAAAAUAAAAUGGAAAAAGGACCAUAUGAUUGGGAGAAUAAACCUUUUAUGCUCCAAACAUGUUUGUAUAGUGCUUCAGAAGAAUCUACCCUUGGACUAUUUUGGUUCUGUUGGUUUUGUAUUUGAUCUAGAAGUGGGGAGGCGAAUGGGGCAGGACGAGAAGCAUUUCUCAUUGUAGAGACCUUUCCUUUUGAUACAACAUACACAAUACAGAAAUCAGAUAUUGCCAAUCAAAGUUCAGAGUUGAGGAGAAUAUAUAAAAUUCUGCUAGUAUUCUGAAAGUUGACCUAUGUGAAAACAAAGUGCUUUUCAUCUGAAAUAGCACCAAAACUGAUGCUGUUUUGAAUGCUUUUCAAAGUUUUUGAUGUGAGGGUCUCGAAACCAUAAAAGAGGACCUCAAACAGCAUCAAUCCAAAUGCAUUUUGAAACACACCCGAACCACAAUACCAAAAGGUAGAGUUGCCAAGUCAGGAGGGGGCUAGGGACGGCAAAAAUACCUCAUAAAUCCACUCCGUGAUGGGGUUCCGAGAACCAAAGUCUCGAUUGCUGCAUGGGAAACAUAUUCUGUUAUUGCUUUUGCUAUAUCUGUGCUUUCAAGUGCAACAUCAAGGCAAUGCACCUGAUACAAAAAAAAAAAAAAAAUCUGUAUGUUGGAAUGGAAAGGAGAAACAAGACAUUUUCCACCCCUAAAGGUGCAUAUUUAUAUCGUGGAAAGGAGGAAUAACAAUGACAGGCUCAGAAACGUACAUCUUUGCGAGUACAAUAGCAUCGAAAUGUAAGGAAGAGAUCCUUUGCCAUCUUCUCAAGCUGCUGCUUUCCUGGUGAAGAAUAAUCACCAGGCGAUCCAUGGCCUGGUCGUGAAACAAUGCAAACAUGUGGAAGAGAAAGAAGAUUAGAACAUGAAACCUAGAACUUGAAAAACCACUUGAGAGAUCAAAGGAGCUGUAAGGCAUUGAAUGUAAGUUGAGCAACCCCUUUUCAAUUUUGGGGCACAUAGGUCGGUCGUAACAUCAUUAAUCUGUCAUUAUUCUAAAUAACGAAUCAGAGAGAGAAUGAUAAAUUACUUGUAACAAAUGAUGAUGAUGAUGAUGAUGAUUUGUUAAAAACAUGGAUUAGAAUAAGAUUUUGGCCUUUGGUGAGAAGAUUUUCCACAGUCCAUUUCAAUGCAUUUUGGCUCCCCUUGUCUUUAUCUACAGCAACUGCCACCAGCCCAUUUCCUUCUCCUCCCUUCUUGGUACCGUGUCCCUUCGAGAGCCACAUUUUCUGUCUUGUAUCUUCUCAACACAGAAAAGAAUUCAAAGGCCUGUAAUUGUCAUCAAGAAAAGACCGCCUAAGAGGCCUUGAAACCUCUCUUCUAUCACCCUGGAUGUGCUCUGAUGCUUUCUGGUCGAAGAGGAGUUUUAAGUGCUUUCUGAAGGGAAAUGCCAAUUGGAUGCAAGCCUCAGUGUGUUUCCAGCAGAAAUGACACCCCUCGUAUUCUCAGUCCCUGUUUAGAAGAUUGCCUAUAUUUAGUGAUCGAGGGCCAUUGAUGAAGCUGUGCCGUUUCAAUGGACACACGAUGUUACUAAAUAAAGGAUGGUCUUCGGUAUACUUUGUUCACUGAUGGACUCUAUACCAUUGUUUACAUGAUUAUUGAAUUAUAUUCAAGUUUUUAUAAGAGAUUCCUAGGCCAGUUCUAUUGAGAACCAUCAUCUGCUACAUGAAAA